rnacentral:lncRNA from 1 species
AUAGAUCUUCAUGUUUGUGUCUUUUGGGAAUGAGGAGAGAGCUGGGAUUUGCAGCUCUUAGUCCAAUGUUUACCAGUAUUAAACCAGAGUAAAGUUAGUUUGCAGGGGAUUCACUCCAGAUUUAAGCUUUGUUAGAUGGCAUUUGCUCCUUUUUUUUUUUUUUCUUUUUACAUCAGAAUUUGCUCUUUUUCCUUUACCUUUUUAAUGUAGAAGUUUAAUGAGGACAAGUUCCCCAGAACCCUUCUCCUCAAAUAUCUUUCUUUGCAUCCAGAACCUGCUGCUGCAUUCCCAAGGGUCAGAUAACAACCUGCACUAAAAGCAUCCUUGAGGAUCUGUUCAUUCUUUUCAUCAGGAGCUGCUUUAUCCAUCCCUGAUAUUCACCCCACUCAAGAUGAGAAGUGGCUGCUUUUUAAGGAUUGGAAAGAGCACUGCUCUUCUCUUGGCUGGUGUGAAUGCACCUCCUCAGGUGAAACCCUGGCUUGAACUUGACCUGCCCAGAUUCCAGAAGGCAAAGGAAUCCCAGGAGAGGAGAAGGAAAGCAUUUCCUAAACCAGACCAACAGCACAGCACACUCAGCUUGGGCUCAGAUUCCUUUCCCUACCCAGAGAGUGACCUGUCACCCAAAGCUGCUGGUGCUUUAGACCAUUUGAUCUGGCCAUCAUGGCAUUGUGGGCAUGCUCCAGGCUUUUGCUUUCCCUGGGGCUGAAAACACACCCAUUUCAAAACAAACCUAAACCAUAGGUGGGACCCUUCUGUGCCUGCCUGCCAUCCAUCCUCCCUUCUCCCUUCCCACCUGCCUCUUUCCUUCACAUUUCUUCAAGAAGAUUUUGGUGGAGAUCUAUCAUGCAAAAACCUAGGUGACACAUCUUUGGAAGCACUGGUGUCCUGCAGAGCUGGACAUCCACACAAGGAUUUCUGCCUCUUUAACCAAACUGCUCCUGGACCGUGUGUGUGCUCACUUCCUCACCAUGUAGGUAAGUCUAUACCCUUUGCUUUGAGAGAGAAACUGUGAUUAACCACGAGCACGUUGCAUCCUUGUUUGUCUGGAGAACAGUGAUUUUCCAUUUUAUUGCUUCCUGUGUGACACAUUUUGUUAGACUCCUGUCAGCUCUUCUUCUCACUGCAUUUGUUUCCUGAUGUGUGUGUAAUUACAACCAUGAAAGUCCAUCAGCAAAAGCGCCAUCAAUCUGAGAGAUUAACGAAUCUCACGCUUUCCCUCUCUCCUCCCCCCAAAAUUAGAAAGCCCCCUCUGUAUUUUCCAGUACACAUCUAUCAUUACACACUCCUGGGUCUCAGGUAAAUUAGCAACCUGAUUCUUUUCCCUGCUGUCACUUAGAAGAAAAGGGCUUCUUAUUUGCCAUCCAAGGAAAAGUACAGUAAACCUAGAACUAGAUAAAAGGGAAGUAAUCAAAUAUAUUUAACUGUAUUCAGCCAAAUCCCAUUAUUUGUAUAGAUGUUAGCUGGUGCAUUUGAAGAAUUAGGGAAGCCUUGUAUUUUAUAGGAAAUUGUACUGCUUGAUUGAAAACUGCAAUAUCUGUGCUACUGUUCCUCUGCUUACUUGAAAUGAGAAGUUCAGCAUUAUGUAGAGAUAUAUUUAUGCAUGUACAGUAGAUAUUUAAAAAGGGGUUUCAUGUCCUUGCUCUUCCACUAAGCACGUACAUUUGGGGUGAGGACAGCAUCCUUCUGUGUUUCUUUCAGAGAUGGGAAAUGCCUCAUCAGCGUGGGAAUGUUCCAUGGAUUGUCCUUCUCGCUUCUACCUGAAAGAUGUGGAGAAAAUAAUUUUAGAUAAGUCACCUCCUACACAUCUGAGGGAAUCAACUCCCUGGAGUGUGAGGAACAGCUUAUGGGGUGUAGGGAUAAUGUAGGGGUAGGCUGAGCAGCCAUGGGGAAGGAACAUUCUGGGAGUAUCCCAUGGAGAUUAUAACCAUGGUGAGGCUGUAGGAGGGCACAGAAAAGCUUCAGCUGGUGGUGGGAACCCAGGUUUGAAAAUACAUGGACAACAUGACAGCAGUGCCUGUGCAAGGGGUGCUCCUUCCCUCGGCAGCUGGCUCUGUGGGAAAGGGGGAAUGCGCCACCUCUAGACGGCUGCAGUCGGUGGUCACCAGACCUUCCCCUUUGGAAACCCCUCCGGGGCCAAGCCAGAGGGUGCACAGCUACUUGGAAAAUAUACCCAAACCCAGCUCCUCAUCCUUAUCCACAGCACCAAAUUAUCUUUCAGGUGUCCCUGUGCAAACAGUAUGAGUUUCAAUGUGAAAAUGUUUGAUUAAGGUGUUCCAACACAAGCACUGAAAUUCAGGUCCAUGGAUUGAGGGAAAGGUUCUCCUGAACUGUGUUCAUGCCAGCACACAGCUUUUCUCAGCUCAGUUUUGUGCUCAGAAGCACUGUUUUGUGUGCUAUGCAUCCAGGGGUUCUUCAGGAUGAUGACCCAGCUCACCCUCAUGACAAUGGGCAUAGCAAGAUGAGGCACAUUUUGAUCCCAGAUUCCAGUUUUAUUUUGCUUGUAUGAAACAUCACAACUCAAUAUUGUUUCAGAACUUUGGGGAGAAGGAGGAAGCAGACAAGAGUCCCCACAAUGUUUUUUUUACAUGCCUGAGUCAAAUUACCCUCCCUUCUGCGGGGCUUCUUCUGAAGUAACAGAUCGUACUGUAACCAAAUAUUGCCGUCCAGGAAAGCCAUUUUCCAUCCAGCAAGGAGGCUUCUUCCUUCCCAGCAGCCACUGAAAAGGGCCUUUGUUCUCAGGCUGAACACCUGGAGGGAGUUAUCAGCAGUGGCCUCUGGGGCCGGCGCGCGGAGCAGCUGUGACAAGACCCAGUGGCUUUGGCCUCAGGAGCGUCAGCAGCACCUGGCAGCUGCUGGCACCCAAAAAUCCUCCUGUCUGGGCCAUUGCAUGGCCAGCUUUGGGUGUUCCUCUCUUCUGUAGGGACCAGGGUCUGUAUUUUCUUUCUUUUCCCAUCCUAAUGAACAGGCUCACUCCACUUGGUCUCUGGAUAACCUCAACCAUCUGACACCUCUGUAGGGAAUGGAGAAUAGCCUUGGCAUUGUCUGGAGACACUGGUGGUGUGAGAGGUGAAAAGCCGGCACAGAGCACCAACAUCCUGGGCACAUGGUUUGACACUACACCUCAGUGAGUAAAAGGUGGAAUUGUUGCCUGGCAUGAGGGUAGGACAUUCAGCAGAGAGGGGGCCACCUGAUGUGACCAAGGGCCAGAUUGCACAGCAGAUGAUGUGACCCUGGGCACAGCUUUCUGCUCUCUCCACACAGUCAGCACCACUUCUGUCUGUGUCCAUGGAAAGACAGACCCACAACUGCUCAGAAACUCAAGAAAACCCAACUCAUUUGGCCCAUCAGGCAAUUCCCUGGAGUUAGAACACUGUGUAAACCAUCACUGCCAGAGACAUCAGCUUCAAAAUCAAAAAGUUUUCAUUCUCUCACUGGAUUUUACAGGAUCUGAAGAAAAAUUUGUGAGGAAAGAUAGAGUCAGAAAGCAGAGUUGUCAGUGGAUCUGCCAUGGGGUAACCUGGAGAGCUGUUGACCUGAACUCGUACUGGGUCUGUGAGGGGUUUUACCAAUGGCCUCAGUGGGAAUUGUAUCUGCAGCCUAGGAGUUUUGCAGGUCUACACCUACAGACCUUUCUCAUUGUGUUGAUUUUCCACUGAAGCCAGAUAGUCCAGAUCACAAAAAAUUACCCCCAAAACCCCAACAUAAUUCUUAUUUUCCUGAUAACCCAGAUAAAGUUUUGACUCCUACAAGGGAGUCAUACACAGGAGGAUUUUAACAAUGCCUCAUCAUAAGAUGCACAGCUCUGCAAAGUAUCUGUUCUGAAGCAGUUCUGCCAAAUACCAAGAGAAAAUUGCAUAACAUGAGAAGGAGCAAACCGCAGCUGAAGCUUCAUCAUCCACAGUGGCAGCUGACCGUGGACGUCACGAGUUCUUCCAUACCCAAUGGCAUAAUUUCCAUUUUCUUUGGACUGUAGUAGUGAAAGAAUAAACAUUUCAAAAGGUUCA